rnacentral:rRNA from 1 species
CGCGUGGGAACGUACCUUUUGGUUCGGAACAACACAGGGAAACUUGUGCUAAUACCGGAUAAGCCCUUACGGGAAAGAUUUAUCGCCGAAAGAUCGGCCCGCGUCUGAUUAGCUAGUUGGUGAGGUAAUGGCUCACCAAGGCGACGAUCAGUAGCUGGUCUGAGAGGAUGAUCAGCCACAUUGGGACUGAGACACGGCCCAA